AGGUCACAGAGGAAAGCAAGCAGUGGUGGAAGGUAUCCCCAGCCUCCAGCUGUAUCUAACCUCUGUGAAGCAGAUCCAGGAUUCUCAGUCAUGUUUUGUGAGGAGUGGACUUCUUGAACAAGUGUGUGGCAGAAAUUCCUGAAAAUAGAAGAAGCCAGUCCCUGGAUCUUCAGCAAACAAGAGGAAGAAGACACAGAAGUACUUGGCAUAGUAUUUGGUAUAUCACCGGCACUCUAUACAUGUUUGUGGACUAGGAGUGAAGCAAGAAAGCACAUGGGGAAAACCAAGUCUGAUAAACCUGUAAAGGUGUCAUUCUACUCCUGAUCAAUCUCUAAGAACUAUUAACAUGAGCCAAGAGGAAAGAACUAAUGCCACCUCUAAUCUCCCUGCGGAUAAACAGUAAAGCUACAAGGUUUGGGCAAAGGAAGGAUGAUCAGACAUUUCGCAGCUGCUUCAUUGUAAUGGUGAAAGGCAGAGUUGGAAGCCGAAGGUGACAGAGGUAGUGGAUGUACCAGUCCGAUGCCCUCCUUCAAUGCUGCAAACACAAGCCUUCCAAAUAGGCACGAGCAACUGUCGGAGCAGCUAUACUCCUUGCAAAGCGCUAGGCUGUCCAGUGCUGUUGAGUUGGCCUUGGAAUCAAACCAGAGGAUCUGCUCCCUGUAACUAGUCUUCAUCCUACAUCUUAGGCAAUUCUGUGACACCAGCUGGGUGUCCUACAAUUCAACUCAAUUCUGACACUGUCUACCUGGAGACAACAUCAGAUCGCAGGUUCACGGCUCAGUCCUAGGAGACUGCCCCCAUCCCACGUCAGACACCAAUCACAAGACCAGGUUGUCACCUGUGCUUCUGACUGACAGGCUAUAAAUCUGAGGUUCUGAAGACCUCCCCUUGGGGUCAAUUAAUUUGCUAGUGGCUCACAGAACUCAGAGAAACUUUUUUUCUUUUUUUUAAAGAUUUUAUUUAUUUGACAGAGAGAGGCACAGUGAGAGAGGGAACACAAGCAGAGGGAGCAGGAGAGGCCGCCCACUGAGCAGGAAGUAUGACGCAGGGCUCGAUCCCAGGACCCUGGGAUCAUGACCGGAACCGAAGGCAGACGCUUAACGACUGAGCCACCCAGGCACCCCUCAGAGAAACUUUUUAUAGUGACUAGGUUACUGGUUUGUUGUAAAAGGAUAUAACUCAGGAACAGCCAGAUGGAGGGGAUUUGUAGGGCAAGGUAUGGGAACAGGUAUGGACCUUCUGUGCUCUCUCCAGACACACUACUGUCCCUGAAUCUCCAUGUUCACCAACCCUCUCCUCUUGGGUUUUUCUUAUGGAGGCAUUACUUAGCCAUGACUGAUUAAAUCACUGGUCAUGGAGCUUGAACUCAAUCUCCAGCCCCUCUCCCCUACCCAGAGGUUGAGUGGGUUGGUGGGGGGACUGAAAAUUCCAACCCUUUAAUCACAAAUUAGUGUCUCCUACCCCUCAACCCAGGCCCCAUCCUCUGGAGCUUUCCAAAAUCCACCUCAUUAACAUAAUAAAAGGCAUCUUUAUUGUUCUUAUCCGUUAGGAAAUUCCAAGGAUUUUAGGAGCUGUGUACCAGGAAUAGGGAUGAAGACCAAAUACAUAUUUGUUGUGGUUGUUUUAGUAAUCCAGUGGUGUCUUUAUAAGAAUUGG